GCAUACUGCCGUGAAUACGUUCCCGGGCCUUGUACACACCGCCCGUCACACCAUGAGAGUUGGGAAUACCCGAAGCCUGUGAGCUAACAUUAAGAGGCAGCAGUCGAAGGUAGAAUCAAUGAUUGGGGUGAAGUCGUAACAAGGUAUC
rnacentral:rRNA from 1 species